UACGGAGGGAGCUAGCGUUGUUCGGAAUUACUGGGCGUAAAGCGCACGUAGGCGGCUUUGUAAGUUAGAGGUGAAAGCCCGGGGCUCAACCCCGGAAUUGCCUUUAAGACUGCACCGCUUGAAUCCGGGAGAGGUGAGUGGAAUUCCGAGUGUAGAGGUGAAAUUCGUAGAUAUUCGGAAGAACACCAGUGGCGAAGGCGGCUCACUGGACCGGCAUUGACGCUGAGGUGCGAAAGCGUGGGGAGCAAACAGG
rnacentral:rRNA from 1 species